rnacentral:rRNA from 1 species
CUAUAAAAUUUCGUGAACUGAAACAUCUAAGUAACGAACAGAAAAGAAAUCAACCGAGAUAAAGGUAGUAGUGGCGAGCGAAACCUUCACAGUCAAAUAGUUUUUUUUUAGAUAAAGAAAAUUACCAAAGUAGGUCAUUCAGUCCUGUAUAAAAUCUAAAAUCAAAUUUUUAUAAAAAUUAAGUAAGAGGAAUUAUACUCUGAAAUGGGGAACCACCCUCAAAGACUAAAGGAAGUAUUAUGAGCGACAGUGAAAAGUACUGUAAAGGAAAGAUGAAAAGACCCCCUUGAAGGGGAGUGAAAAAGAUCACGAAAAUCUAGAGGUAAAAAGCAGUUGUUAAUUAUAUUUUCAACCUACCUUUUGCAUAAUGGGUCAACGAGUACAUCCUUUUAAUUCGCUAGCUUUUAUUUAGGCGUAUUGAAAAAAAAAAUAUAGUGGAAAGGAUUUUGCCCGAAAGCGAGUGAUCUACCUCUGAACAGGUGGCAAAAGAAGUAAAAUUCUUUGAAAGACCGAACUCAUGUAUGUUGCAAAAUACUGAGAUGAUUUGGGGGUAGGAGUGAAAGGCUAAUCAAACUCGCAGAUAGCUGGUUUUUCGCGAAAUCGAUAGAAGUCGAGCCAAUAAUAAAUUAUCUUAGGGAGUAGAGCACUUUUUGGGUUAGGGUUGUUCAAAACUUUACCGAUCCCUGAAAAACUACGAAUCCCUAUUUAGAUAAUAAUAUUGAGACAGGCUUAGGAUGCUAAGGUCCUAAGUCAAAAGGGCAACAGCCCUAAUUGUUUUUUAAGGUCCUAAAGCAAAGUUUGAGUGAUAAAGAAAGUUUUUUUACAAUGACAACCAGGAGGUGAGCUUGGAAGCAGCUAUUCUUUUAAGAAAUCGUAACAGAUCACUGGUCGAGUAAAAAUGCGUCUAAAAUAUAAGAGGACUUAAAUCUUUCACCGAUAAAACAAAUUUUAAUUUUAAAUUUAAUUAAAAUGGUAGCGAAACGUUCUGUAAUAAUCCUGAAGGUAACUUCAUAAAUCAGAAGUGCGAAUGUUGACAUAAGUAGCGUAAAAUUAUUUUAAAAAAAUAAUCGACAAAAUUUCAAGGUUUUCAUCGUACUGUUAAUCAGCGAUGACAUAUUUAGCCCCUAGGAUGAAGUAGAGAAAUCACUUUUCUAUGGGAAACAAGAAAAAU